rnacentral:rRNA from 1 species
UACGUAGGUGGCAAGCGUUGUCCGGAUUUAUUGGGUUUAAAGGGUGCGUAGGCGGUCCUAUAAGUCAGUUGUGAAAUACGGCAGCUUAACUGUCGAGGUGCAAUUGAUACUGCAGGACUUGAGUACAGACGAGGUAGGCGGAAUUGACGGUGUAGCGGUGAAAUGCUUAGAUAUCGUCAAGAACACCGAUAGCGAAGGCAGCUUACUAGACUGUAACUGACGCUGAUGCACGAAAGUGUGGGGA